rnacentral:misc_RNA from 1 species
GAUGAAGAACGCAGCGAAAUGCGAUAAGUAAUGUGUAUUGCAGAAUUCAGUGAAUCAUCGAAUCUUUGAACGCACAUUGCGCCCGCCAGUAUUCUGGCGGGCAUGCCUGUUCGAGCGUCAUUACAACCCUCAGGCCCCCGGGCCUGGCGUUGGGGAUCGGCGGAAGCCCCCUGCGGGCACAACGCCGUCCCCCAAAUACAGUGGCGGUCCCGCCGCAGCUUCCAUUGCGUAGUAGCUAACACCUCGCAACUGGAGAGCGGCGCGGCCACGCCGUAAAACACCCAACUUCUGAAUGUUGACCUCGAAUCAGGUAGGAAUACCCGCUGAACUUAAGCAUAUCAAUAAGCGGAGGA